rnacentral:rRNA from 1 species
AUACGGAGGAUCCGAGCGUUAUCCGGAUUUAUUGGGUGUAAAGGGUGCGCAGGCGGCCAUUUAAGUCAGCGGUUAAAUCGUGGGGCUCAACCCCAUUCUGCCGUUGAUACUGGGUGGCUUGAUUGCGGUCGAGGUUGGCGGAAUUUGCCGUGUAGCGGUGGAAUGCAUAGAUAUGACGAAGAACACCGAUUGCGUAGGCAGCUGACCAGACCGCAAAUGACGCUCAUGCACGAAAGUGCGGGGAUCGAACAGGAUUAGAUACCCUGGUAGUCCGCACAGUAAACGAUGAAUACUUGUUUUCGGCGAUAUAAUGUCGGAGGCAAAGCGAAAGCGAUAAGUAUUCCACCUGGGGAGUACGCCGGCAACGGUGAAACUCAAAGGAAUUGACGGGG